AAGCUAAUAAGUACAUGAACAUGUGGGGGAAGUAAAUAUUAAAACGUUAUUACGUCUGUCAUGCGAAGACUUCACCAAGCGAUACACGACUUGCUGUAUAUCUGAAGAACGGAGCUUAAUUAUGCUUAAUUCGAACGCUCUAUCGUCCGAACCGUGAUUUAAAAACGAGGUGUUAUUACAGACAAAAAAAGGAUGCUGCUUCUUCUUUCUACAAAUGGAGACUCGACCAGCAAAAACGAGCAAGAUUCAUCCAACGCUAAGAAAAGUCCCGGCAGUUCCCACAAUCACGAUGAAACGAAGAAUCUAAACCACGCCUUGACGCGGAUG
rnacentral:misc_RNA from 1 species